GAUGAAUGAAAGGCAGAAACGAAAUAUUGUCCGUUUCGGCUUUAUAAGAGAAACAAAA
rfam:Enterococcus thailandicus strain F0711D 46 Ent-16_S35_L001_001_7, whole genome shotgun sequence.